rnacentral:rRNA from 1 species
CCUACGGGUGGCAGCAGUGAGGAAUAUUGGUCAAUGGACGAGAGUCUGAACCAGCCAAGUAGCGUGAAGGAUGACUGCCCUAUGGGUUGUAAACUUCUUUUAUAUGGGAAUAAAAUGUUCCACGUGUGGGAUUUUGUAUGUACCAUAUGAAUAAGGAUCGGCUAACUCCGUGCCAGCAGCCGCGGUAAUACGGAGGAUCCGAGCGUUAUCCGGAUUUAUUGGGUUUAAAGGGAGCGUAGGUGGAUUGUUAAGUCAGUUGUGAAAGUUUGCGGCUCAACCGUAAAAUUGCAGUUGAAACUGGCAGUCGUGAGUACAGUAGAGGUAGGCGGAAUUCGUGGUGUAGCGGUGAAAUGCUUAGAUAUCACGAAGAACUCCGAUUGCGAAGGCAGCUCACUGGACUGCAACGGACACUGAGGCUCGAAAGUGUGGGUAUCAAACAGGAUUAGAUACCCCUGUAGUC